GAUCCACAUAUACUUUUUAAUGCCUGUGUUUGCACUUUUUUGUUUCCUGUUAGAAAUCAUGGAAUUUGAAUGAUGGGUUAGUUUCUUUUAGCGAAAAGAUUUGAUCUUUAUGGAAAAAAAAUUAUGUGUUUCGUUAAUAUUAAUGAUUAUCAUGUGGAUUGUAUCUGUUCUUUCCAUUUCUAUGUAAGGAUAGCUUUAAAAUGUGUGAGAAAGAUGGUGUUCAUCACAGAUAAGCUGCCAGGGUAUAGUACUAUGAUAAAGGAUUAUGUUAUUUUUGGUUGGUUGGUGCAUCUCUACGGUGGUAUUGAUUCGAUCGAAGGAAAUAUGUUAUUCAUUAGGAGUGACAUAGAUGUGGUUUCAUUUGGUAAUGUCUGCCCACGAAGAAUAAUAUGAUUCGAUAACUAAGCAAAUAUUGUAGAAUUAUCAAUUGGAGUAUUAGAGGAAUAUGAACGAAAAUAUUUGCAGAAAGUUGUCAUCUUUAACAUCAUGGACAAAACACAUACAUUUGACUCUCUGGGAUGAAGCAACUUGUUAUUUCUAUUUG